AUGAACGCUAGCGACAGGCCUAACACAUGCAAGUCGAGGGGCAGCACAAGGAGCAAUCUGAGGUGGCGACCGGCGCACGGGUGAGUAACACGUAUGCAACCUGCCUGUAAGCGGGGAAUAACCCGUUGAAAGACGGACUAAUACCGCAUAAUACUAAAUUACUGCAUGGUAAUUUAUUUAAACAUUUAUGGCUUACAGAUGGGCAUGCGCAUGAUUAGCUAGUUGGAGAGGUAACGGCUCCCAAGGCAACGAUCAUUAGGGGUUCUGAGAGGAAGGUCCCCCACACUGGUACUGAGACACGGACCAGACUCCUACGGGAGGCAGCAGUGAGGAAUAUUGGUCAAUGGACGAGAGUCUGAACCAGCCAAGUCGCGUGCAGGAAGAAUGUCCUUAAUGGAUUGUAAACUGCUUUUGCAGGGGAAUAAAGUGCAUCACGUGUGAUGUUUUGUAUGUACUCUGCGAAUAAGGAUCGGCUAACUCCGUGCCAGCAGCCGC
rnacentral:rRNA from 1 species